rnacentral:misc_RNA from 1 species
GCCGAACCACACUGCAAUCUACAGCGGCAUUUCUCCACUGAGUGGCAUGUGCAAGCAAGCAUAAAAACAACUUUCAACAACGGAUCUCUUGGCUCUGGCAUCGAUGAAGAACGCAGCGAAAUGCGAUAAGUAAUGCGAAUUGCAGAUUUCAGUGAAUCAUCGAAUCUUUGAACGCACAUUGCACCCGGCGGCACUCCGCCGGGUCUGCCUGUCCGAGCGUCGUUUCCAACCCUCGAGUCCACUGGGCACUCGGCGUUGGGGAUCUGCAGCGCGCGCGCUGCAGGCCCCGAAAUACAGUGGCGGGCCCGCCGCUGGAACCCCCUGCGCAGUAAGUUUUCUUCCUCGCAUCGGGCGCCGGCGGAGCCUGCCGUCAAGCGGAUGGGAGGGGGAGUCCUGUGGCCCCCCGCACGCCCACCACGCAGAACCACUGUCGACCUCGGAUCAGGUAGGGUUACCCGCUGAACUUAAGCA